rnacentral:lncRNA from 13 species
CACGCCUCUCAUCUUGUGUGCUCAACAUCGUGAUUAUUUAUGGAGUUGUAAAGUGUCCUUCAAGCAGCUCAUUCCUCUCAACAAGCUGUAAGGCAGGCGAGAGAAGGCUCCGGCCAAAACCGGGCUGCCUGGGGAGGAGGUGGCAGGGCUGGGAGUGAGGGAGAGACCCCUUCAUCCUCCCCCGCUCAACUCGCCUUUCAGGCUGACCUUGGAAAGUGCAGACUGGCUCAGAUUUCCUCUGCUGUGGAUGUCUUCCCCAGAGAGCUAUGUGCUAGCUGUGUGCUCCGACAACAAGGGAAGCACGCAGGGCCUGGUGGAGGGGUGACAGUGAGCACGUCCAGGGUCUGAGCAAAGACAAGAAUGAGGUGUGAGCUGGCCUUGACUCUACUGUCUUUCCCCAGAGCUGAUGAUCUCCCUGCUGUGUCAGGCAGACUGGGCACGGCCUCCACAAGCCCAUUUCUAGGUCUAGGAGAAUAAUCACUGAAUACACCAAGGAUCAGAAUGGGAGCAGACCAGGCAUCAAGAGUUACUAUUCUAGGACUGGGCAUGUAACUCUGUUCCGGCCAACGAGAUGAGAAGAAACCCUACACGGUGUUGGGAGUUGCUGAGGAACCUCUUCCUCCGAGGAGGAAUGCCCCUCCCACCUUGUCUCUCAGGAGGUAGCCUAAUGCUGAGACGUAAUCCAUCCAUUCUAGAGGGGAGAUGUGAAGGCUCAGAGCCAGGAUGAGAUCUGCCCUGAUGCAGUGACAGAGCUGGGAUUCCAACACCAUCCAGGCCUCCUGUCACAUUCUGUCUCCCUCACUGGCCAUGAGUUCCCCUUCCAUCGUCUCUGCCCACGUCUAUUAAUAUCUCAACCUUGAGUCCUACUUUCCUCUAACUCCACAGCCCCACUCUCACACUGGGAGACAAGCCCUGGGACCCUCACAAGCAGCUGUCUCAUAGCCUUCACUACCCAAAAUGUUUAGAGAAAAUAAAAGAGUAGAGGUAUUUUCCA